rnacentral:rRNA from 1 species
GUCCUCUUGAAUUUAAUUUGAGGUCUAGCCUGCCCACUGAAAUUAUUUAAAUGGCCGCAGUAAUUUGACUGUGCAAAGGUAGCAUAAUCAUUAGUUUUUUAAUUAAAAGCUUGUAUGAAUGGUUGGACAAAGUAAAAUCUGUCUCUAUUUAAUUUAUAAUAGAAUUUAAUUUUUAAGUUAAAAAGCUUAAAUUUUUAUAAAAGACGAGAAGACCCUAUAGAUCUUUAUUUAUAUUUAUAUAAUUUUAAUUUAGAAUUUUUUAUUAAUUAUAUUUUUUUAAAUUUUAUUGGGGUAAUAAAAAGAUUAAAAAAAUUCUUUUUUUAAUAUACAUUGAUUUAUGAAUAAAUGAUCCAAUAUUUUUGAUUAAAAGAUUAAGUUACCUUAGGGAUAACAGCGUAAUUUUUUUAGAGAGUUCAUAUCGAUAAAAAAGUUUGCGACCUCGAUGUUGGAUUAAAAAUUAUCUUAGGUGCAGAAGUUUAAGAUUUUGGUCUGUUCGACCAUUGAAUUUUUACA